AAUAGAUACCCGGGUAGUCCACGCCGUAAACGAUGAGUGCUAAGUGUUAGGGGGUUUCCGCCCCUUAGUGCUGCAGCUAACGCAUUAAGCACUCCGCCUGGGGAGUACGGUCGCAAGACUGAAACUCAAAGGAAUUGACGGGGGCCCGCACAAGCGGUGGAGCAUGUGGUUUAAUUCGAAGCAACGCGAAGAACCUUACCAGGUCUUGACAUCCCAUUGACCGCUAUGGAGACAUAGUUUUCCCUUCGGGGACAGUGGUGACAGGUGGUGCAUGGUUGUCGUCAGCUCGUGUCGUGAGAUGUUGGGUUAAGUCCCGCAACGAGCGCAACCCUUGUUCUUAGUUGCCAUCAUUUAGUUGGGCACUCUAAGGAGACUGCCGGUGACAAACCGGAGGAAGGUGGGGAUGACGUCAAAUCAUCAUGCCCCUUAUGACCUGGGCUACACACGUGCUACAAUGGACGGUACAAACGGUUGCCAACCCGCGAGGGGGAGCUAAUCCGAUAAAACCGUUCUCAGUUCGGAUUGUAGGCUGCAACUCGCCUACAUGAACG
rnacentral:rRNA from 1 species